GUGCCUCUUCGUCGCUCUGCUGAGCAACGCCCUCGCGGUGUACGUCCCCACGUACGGGCUACCCUUGGCCGGCUACCCUGCCGCUGUGCCAGCUGUGACGACGGUGCACGCAGCCCCAUUAACAGCAGUGCAAACUGUCCACCAUGCGGUACCUGUCGCUCCUACGGUCCACAACGUGGCUACCCCGUACGGCUACCGCACCACCGGAGUCAGCUACAGCCACAGGGUCGAUGCCCACCCGGUGCGUGUCCGCUACGUGCAGGGAUUUGCUCCGUACGGGCUCAACUACGGCUAUGGGCUGGACGCCUUCGGAUACACCACUCUUCUGAAGAAAUAAAUGGAUACCAAGACCAAGCAACGAAGCAGUGACAAGGCUGUCUUUGAGAAUGACCGACAGGACACAACGCUAGUUCAACACACCGCUGCCCAUGGGUGCGGCUUUUGUCAUCGGAUUAUGAGCCUGAGAAGUGAAAAUAAGAAAGUAUGA
rnacentral:misc_RNA from 1 species